rnacentral:rRNA from 1 species
AGACCCGAAACCCGGUGAUCUAGCCAUGGGCAGGUUGAAGGUUGGGUAACACUAACUGGAGGACCGAACCGACUAAUGUUGAAAAAUUAGCGGAUGACCUGUGGCUGGGGGUGAAAGGCCAAUCAAACCGGGAGAUAGCUGGUUCUCCCCGAAAGCUAUUUAGGUAGCGCCUCGUGAAUUCAUCUCCGGGGGUAGAGCACUGUUUCGGCUAGGGGGCCAUCCCGGCUUACCAACCCGAUGCAAACUGCGAAUACCGGAGAAUGUUAUCACGGGAGACACACGGCGGGUGCUAACGUCCGUCGUGAAGAGGGAAACAACCCAGACCGCCAGCUAAGGUCCCAAAGUCAUGGUUAAGUGGGAAACGAUGUGGGAAGGCCCAGACAGCCAGGAUGUUGGCUUAGAAGCAGCCAUCAUUUAAAGAAAGCGUAAUAGCUCACUGGUCGAGUCGGCCUGCGCGGAAGAUGUAACGGGGCUAAACCAUGCACCGAAGCUGCGGCAGCGACGCUUAUGCGUUGUUGGGUAGGGGAGCGUUCUGUAAGCCUGCGAAGGUGGCCUGUGAGGGUUGCUGGAGGUAUCAGAAGUGCGAAUGCUGACAUAAGUAACGAUAAAGCGGGUGAAAAGCCCGCUCGCCGGAAGACCAAGGGUUCCUGUCCAACGUUAAUCGGGGCAGGGUGAGUCGACCCCUAAGGCGAGGCCGAAAGGCGUAGUCGAUGGGAAACGGGUUAAUAUUCCCGUACUUGGUGUUACUGCGAAGGGGGGACGGAGAAGGCUAUGUUGGCCGGGCGACGGUUGUCCCGGUUUAAGCGUGUAGGUGUGUGUUCCAGGUAAAUCCGGUUCACUUUAACACUGAGGCGUGACGACGAGGCACUACGGUGCUGAAGCAACAAAUGCCCUGCUUCCAGGAAAAGCCUCUAAGCAUCAGGUAACAUCAAAUCGUACCCCAAACCGACACAGGUGGUCAGGUAGAGAAUACCAAGGCGCUUGAGAGAACUCGGGUGAAGGAACUAGGCAAAAUGGUGCCGUAACUUCGGGAGAAGGCACGCUGACACGUAGGUGAAGUGAUUUACUCACGGAGCUGAAGUCAGUCGAAGAUACCAGCUGGCUGCAACUGUUUAUUAAAAACACAGCACUGUGCAAACACGAAAGUGGACGUAUACGGUGUGACGCCUGCCCGGUGCCGGAAGGUUAAUUGAUGGGGUCAGCGCAAGCGAAGCUCCUGAUCGAAGCCCCGGUAAACGGCGGCCGUAACUAUAACGGUCCUAAGGUAGCGAAAUUCCUUGUCGGGUAAGUUCCGACCUGCACGAAUGGCGUAAUGAUGGCCAGGCUGUCUCCACCCGAGACUCAGUGAAAUUGAACUCGCUGUGAAGAUGCAGUGUACCCGCGGCAAGACGGAAAGACCCCGUGAACCUUUACUAUAGCUUGACACUGAACAUUGAGCCUUGAUGUGUAG